GGUCAAGGUAGAAAGAGCACAC
rnacentral:rRNA from 1 species